rnacentral:rRNA from 1 species
UACAGGGGGUGCAAACGUUGCUCGGAAUUAUUGGGCGUAAAGCGCGCGUAGGCGGCUACCUAAGUCGGAUGUGAAAGCCCCUGGCUUAACUGGGGAAGUGCACCCGAAACUGGGUAGCUAGAGUGCAAAAGAGGGUCGCGGAAUUCCCGGUGUAGAGGUGAAAUUCGUAGAUAUCGGGAGGAACACCGGUGGCGAAGGCGGCGACCUGGGUUGACACUGACGCUGAGGCGCGAAAGCAUGGGGAGCGAACAGG